AGCCCUGGGUUUAUGGGCCGGGCGAGAGGUUUGCGAUCUGGCUGCUGGAGACGUGGCUAAGUUACACUAUUUUGUGGAGUGUGAGCUGCUUCGCGGAGGGGAGUAGGAGGUUCUGUGCUGUCCCUGUGUCACCUGGUAUUGAAGUCCGUUGAUGAAUUGUGAAACUGAGAGUUGUAAACAUUGACAGACUGGGAAGAAGAAGCAAAUGUCUGAAUGAAUUCCCAGCAUAUACUUGUACCAUACAGUACUACACAGCCCUGAGGACUUCUUCACAGCAAAACCCCGUACCUAAUAAAACAGCAGAUGAAUUCAAGACUCCUGUCACAAUUAUACCUGCAUGCCGAGUGAGUGUAAGAGUGGGAAGCUGCCAGUUUGUAUCCCAGCCUGUCUGGUUUCAAUGGAUAGUGUGUUGCUUGGUGGCUUGACAUUUGUGUCACAUGCUGGCUUUGGGAAAUAAGUUAACCAGUAAUUUCACAGGUGUGCCCAUAUUCUUAUUGGAAGAUUAGCGAAUGGAACCACACAGCUGUGAGCUUUUUCAGAUCGUGAGAUGACAGAAUUGAGAGGUUGCACUGUGUUUCUGUGUUUCCUUGUCUCCCUGACAUUAUUUUCCUUAGCCAACUCCUCCAGGUCUGGGAAGUUUUCCCAGAAAUCUGUGGGAGUGGAAGAUGGCAUCAGGCGACUGUGCACAGAGGAAGUUCGCUCAUGGUCUGAUUUGUUUUCACCUGAUCGUCUGGAUGCCUGGAUCUGCUCUGUAAUUGGCUCACUUCUGGUGGCAAUGAGUGGUGUGUUUCCACUACUGGUAAUUCCUAUCAAGGCUGGUGCAGCACUAAAAU